GGGCUGAUCAGCCCCAUUUCCAGCCAUUCUCCCCAUCCUUUACGACAGAAACCAGAAAGAAAAAAGAGAGAGAGAGAGAGAGAGAGAGAAAGGAAGAAAGAAAGAAAGAGAUCUUCCGGUGCGGAUUCCGGCAAUUUCCGGCAGCAAAAAUGGGCGUGGUACCGAGCUACUGCUCGACGAAGGAACUCGUAUACGUGAUCGUCGGAAUAGUACUUUUGCAGGCUAGAUUAGUUGAGGUCGGGCGUACAUGGAGUCGAGGCAUAGCCAACAGCAUUGCUUCCGCGUACUCAUUCUAUUUCUGUUUUCUGUGAUACCUAAUAGAUUAAUAUUGCUCUGAUAAGCUGUGGGAUUAAUAUUGUUUUUGGGUUGAGACUGUUAUUUGAGAAAUUGAAGUUGUGAUUUGGGGAGCAGGUGGCUCCAGGAGUAUAAGGUUGGUUUGUUUGAA